UCAACAUUCUCUGCUACUUUGGUCCUUCUCACCCUGGCCUUUCCUGUGCUGGGCCUGCCUACAUCUCUGGCAGCUAUUCACAGUUUCUAAAAGACAAAAACAUCAAGAAAUUUUUGUGAAAUCACUUUCAAAAUAAAAUGUAGCCCAGCUACAUUCUUAGAGUUUCUAUUCUGAAGCCACAUCCUCAGCAAAGACAUUGAGACCUCCACAGUAUAUCUAUGUACACAUACACAACUCUGAUGUUCUGGUUUCUGACAAAUGUGGCAUUACUGGAAAUGGAGACAACCUGUCCAUGGCAGUGAAUCACCCAGGAGUUUUGGUGGACAAAGUCAUCCAACGCCAGACUGCAUCCUAGCCAGCUGGAUGACUAACAAAGGCUUCCCUGACACCCUCCUGCAGUGAGCCUCUGCAGCCCAAGGAACCACGCACAGGGAUGCAUGGAGUGCUGACUGCUUGGGUGCUGACCAAGGGGAAAGUGGUGAACUGAGCUUGCCUCCAUUUCUGGCUGGCAACAGAAAAUAAAU